AUGGGUUCAAGAAAUCUUGUUGUUUCUUAUCAACAACAACCCAGAGGAGAAGCGAAGCAGAGGGCUUUUGCACCAGCAGAUGGAAGGAAUAGAAGAGUGCUUCAAGAUAUUGGCAAUUUAGUGAAUGAUCAUGUAUCUUUGCAAGGGAAGAAACCAAUCACAGAAGUUGUAGAUUCUGUGGUUGCUCGUAAUGUGAGGGCUCCUGCAGCUACUAAGGUCCCAGCAGCAGCAAUAAAGAAGGUUAACGAGAAGCAUAGACCUGAGGAUGUCAUUGUGAUAAGCUCUGAGGAAACAGAAAAGAGUAAACCUGUUAGCAGAGUACCAAGGAAAGAAGUCAAGACACUCACUUCUAUCCUCACUGCUCGAAGCAAGGCCGCUUGUGGUAAGCCUGAGGAUACACUGGUGGAAAUUGAUGCUGCUGAUGUUAAUAAUGAGUUGGCAGUAGUUGAAUACGUUGAUGAGAUGUACGAGUUUUACAAGCUUGCAGAGGUUGACAGUAGGGUACAUGACUACUUGCAAUUCCAACCAGACAUCAAUGCAAAGAUGAGAUCGAUCCUUGUAGAUUGGCUGAUAGAUGUUCAUCGAAAGUUUUUACUAAUGCCGGAAACUCUCUAUCUUACCAUAAAUAUUGUGGAUAGGUUCCUAGCAUUGAAGUUGGUACCAAGGAGGGAACUUCAGUUGGUUGGCAUCAGCUCAAUGCUUAUAGCUUGCAAGUACGAAGAAAUAUGGGCACCAGAGGUUAAUGACUUUGUUCGCAUAUCUGACAAUGCCUAUAUAAGAGAGCAAGUUCUGGCAAUGGAGAAAGCAAUCUUAGGAAAGCUAGAGUGGUAUCUAACAGUUCCAACACCCUAUGUUUUCCUUGUUAGAUAUAUCAAGGCCUCCAUUCCAUCCGAUGAAGAGACAGAGAAUCUGGUGUUCUUCCUGUCUGAACUUGGUCUGAUGCAAUAUCCGGUUGUUGUCAAAUAUGGUCCUUCAACAAUUGCCGCAUCAGCUGUGUAUGCUGCUCGAUGCACUCUGGAUAAGAUCCCUUUCUGGACUGAAACUUUAAAGCACCACACUGGCUACACUGAAGAUUUGUUAAGGGAUUGUGCAAAGCUCCUGGUUCAUUUUCACACUGCAGCUGCUGAAAGUAAGCUCAAGGCUGUCUACAAGAAAUUCUCAAGUGCAGAUCAUGGUGCUGUGGCUCUUCUUACCCCAGCCAGAAGCCUUUCAUCUGAAUUGCCAUGAAAAAGUUCUUAUACAACAUUUGAGUGCAUAAGAUUAUAUUUUGGAAAGUCUUAAUAUUUUGAUGCGUAUACUCAAGGCUGUCUACAAGAAAUUCUCAAGUGCAGAUCGCCAUGAAAAAGUUUUUAUACAACAAUUGAGUGAACAAGAUUCUAUUUUUGAAAGUCUUGAUGUUUUGAUGUGUAAGCUCAAGGCUGUCUACAAGAAAUUCUCAAGUGCAGAUCAUGGUGCUGUGGCUCUUCUUACCCCAGCCAGAGAAACCUUUCAUCUGAAUCGCUAUGAAAAAGUUCUUGUAACAUUUGGGUGAACAGGAUUCUUAAUUUUGAAAGUCUGAAUGUUUUGAUGGCUAGAUGCUUGCGUCUUCCAUAUAUCAGUAGUGUUUAGUUAAUAGGGAAGAUCAUGCUGCUGCUAUCAUGAUCCAUAGUCUUCAUAUAUUAUCCUGCUCCUUUGGGUGAAGCAGUUGUCAAAUUACAUGAGAAAUGCUUGAUUUGAUUCAAGUUUAAAGAUUC